GUAAACCCGGGACAUGACCUAUUCCACCGGAAGCCGAUUUAGGGGUAAGGACGGUAAGCGAGAACGGGCCGAAGAGGGGUGCGAGGGUACCGGCGGCAAAUGGGGUGGUGCCGGCAGGAGGGGUGCGCGGUGAGGGGAGGAAGGAAGGAGGCCGGCGGCAGGGACAGCACCAGGCGGAGGUAGUGGGUCGUGGCGUAGGGGAAGAGUGGCGCGGAGCGAGAGAGCGGCGGUGGCCGCCGGUUAGCCGCCAGUAAGCACCAGGCUCGCCGCACCUGCGCCGCCAGCGCGCCGCUCAACCUGUUCUCGGGCUUGGCGUUCAGCACCUUCGUCGCGUGCCUGUACAUGUACGCGGGCAAGGACGAGUUGCAGAAGAAGAGGUUCGCGAAGCACGUGCGGUUCCAGUACGUGGCCCCGUGGUCGUUCCAGUAGCGGCAGCGGUGGUGGUUGCGGUUCCUGGAGUCCUGGUGGGACGGCAGGGAGUAGCUGCUGUUGCGGACGGCCUGGUAGCCAGCGGAGUAUCGGCUCUCCAGGUACCUGCGGCUGCAGAAGCGGUACCGCAUGCUCGGGUUCUUCUUGCUCUCCUAGCUCCCCUUCGAGCCCUAACAGUAGCUGUGGUAAUUCCUCAUACCGUAGUAGAAACGUAUCCGUUCAAGGUCACAUCCUCGUCUUUGUCAAAAAUACAACAUAAAGACAUCAAACUAACUAAGUACAUCGACAAGAACAAGUCGAAUAGAAUAUAACUACCACUACUACUAGAUCAUUAUCGAAGAAGACGACACGACAAACAGAAAAGUAUAACCACAACGUUACGAUAAAAUGAACAUUUUAAAGUAUCCUAUAGGAACCAAUCUAACAGGUCACCCAUUAUAAUAUCCCUUUUGCAAGUCAACUAUAUUGUGAUCAUUUCGGGUCAACUGAUUUACGUUUACAACGACCUCGAUAGGUUAAAACAGUUCAGAUUACACCUAUACUCGUCGAUUAUUGUAAUUGGUUUUGAUAUCGCUCGUUCAAUACCUAGACUUGACAAAUCCUCAUUGCCAAUUUAUAGUCUUUCACGUAAUUCGGACUCAUGUGCAAAAAUGGUACGAUAACAACAAUGAGUAUAAUAUAUGUUCAUAUUCCUUGUACACCUAAACGUUCCUUUAAUCUCUACGUGUGUUCAUUACCGAAUCAUUCCACAAACAGAAAGUUGAAAACAAUCAAUAGUCUUUUAACCACUUACUAAAGGUCUGUAACAACAAAUACCAGAAGUUUAUUAUUGACUUACUAGGACUACGAGAUAUUUACAAUUGACUUACUAAGUCCGCAACUCUCAAAUUGACGUACCAUUAAUACAAGUAGACAACCAAUCGACUUCACAACAGAGAACACAAGUAGUUUUAAUACACACACCUUGACCUUCUUACGAAAACAUACCUUGUUAUGCUUUAUAAGCUUCCGACUAUUCCGCGAGGACAGAUAUACUUUGUUUACCAUCCAGGAGGGAGGCUAGGUAUAACUAACAACAAAUAAAUCAUGUUGAAUGAUUUAGUCACUGUCAAUUAUACCUAGCCUCCCUCAUCAUCAAAAACUGACGGAUUCAAAAAGGUAUAUGACCUGUCAAAUAUAAGACAAUACAGGAUACCGAGCACAAAGUAAGAUGGUUCAACUUUACAAAAAAGUGCUGAUCACUAAUGUUAAUAGAUGCUCAUGGUUGGUUCAGUAGUGGGCACGACUAGGAACUUCUUUAAGCUGAACAAAGAGGUGUUCAACGUAGUCAACACGUGUCUGUGGUAGGACUAUACCUCGAAGGGAAGUGCUUACGAGUCUACUUUCAUGGAAUGAGGAGCACAAAUAGAAAAAGUACCCUUUUUACCUAGUUACUACAUUAAAUUGCCUUGCUUUGAUCAGUGACGGCUCCAGUAAGCCCGUAUACACUCCAUAUAACACGAGUAUACAAGUAUACGAGGAGGAUCCGUAUUAACACGACAGGCCGAUACGUAGAAUUCGGAAUUCCCGUAAUUAAUACGGAUGGUGUCUUACUGACUGGUAUCUAAGUACAAGAUCUCUCUUUACUCAAAAACGACGACACGUCAUAAAACUUUCCGGCGACACGAUCAUCAGUCGUACUUGUUUACAGGGUCACGGGAUUAGAGGUUUAAGUACAACUUCUUAGUACCGACCACUUUGGACGAGGGACGAUCGAGUACGCAGACUUGAAACG
rnacentral:rRNA from 1 species